CAGCUACCGGUACAGGUGGCCAUUCCAAUGUCUGGAGGACGAAGCAUAACAUUUAAUAUUAAAGGUUGUUAUGCUUUACUCUUCAGCCGUUGUAGUGGUCAAAAUCCUACAUAAUGCUUC
rnacentral:precursor_RNA from 12 species